rnacentral:rRNA from 1 species
CCUACGGGGUGCUGCAGUGAGGAAUAUUGGUCAAUGGACGAGAGUCUGAACCAGCCAAGUAGCGUGAAGGAUGACUGCCCUAUGGGUUGUAAACUUCUUUUAUAUGGGAAUAACAUGUUCCACGUGUGGGAUUUUGUAUGUACCAUAUGAAUAAGGAUCGGCUAACUCCGUGCCAGCAGCCGCGGUAAUACGGAGGAUCCGAGCGUUAUCCGGAUUUAUUGGGUUUAAAGGGAGCGUAGGUUGAUUGUUAAGUCAGUUGUGAAAGUUUGCGGCUCAACCGUAAAAUUGCAGUUGAAACUGGCAGUCUUGAGUACAGUAGUGGUGGGCGGAAUUCGUGGUGUAGCGGUGAAAUGCUUAGAUAUCACGAAGAACUCCGAUUGCGAAGGCAGUUCACUGGACUGCAACUGACACUGAGGCUCGAAAGUGUGGGUAUCAAACAGGAUUAGAUACCCCGGUAGUC